UAAGGAAUAUUGGUCAAUGGACGCAAGUCUGAACCAGCCAUGCCGCGUGGAGGAUUAAGGCCCUCUGGGUUGUAAACUCCUUUUAUCUGGGAAGAAAUGUACUUUUUCUUGAGUACUUGACGGUACCAGAGGAAUAAGCACCAGCUAACUCCGUGCCAGCAGCCGCGGUAAUACGGAGGGUGCAAGCGUUAUCCGGAUUCACUGGGUUUAAAGGGUGCGUAGGUGGGCAGGUAAGUCAGUGGUGAAAUCUCCGGGCUUAACCCGGAAACUGCCGUUGAUACUAUUUGUCUUGAAUAUUGUGGAGGUAAGCGGAAUAUGUCAUGUAGCGGUGAAAUGCUUAGAUAUGACAUAGAACACCAAUUGCGAAGGCAGCUUACUACACAAUCAUUGACGCUGAGGCACGAAAGCGUGGGGAUCAAAC
rnacentral:rRNA from 1 species